CUGUUGAGUUUGACUCUAAUUUGACUCUGUGACGAGUCUUGAGAGACGUAGUAUAAGUGGGAGACUUCGGUCGCAAUUGAAAUACCACUACUUUCAUCGAUUCUUUACUUAUUCGGUAAUGCGGGGAUUGGAGCUCGUUCUCCUUCCUUCUGGUGUUAAGCGUCGGCUCUCGGAGCUUUCGCGACCCGGACCGAAGACAGUGUCAGGCCGGAAGUUUGACUGUGCCGGUACAUCUAUCAAAACGUAACGUGGGUGUCCUAACAAUUCUAUGCUUCUUUCUUUUGGUGCCACUAUUGUUCAUAGCCAGACAAAGCAUAUCGAUCCAUGACCAACCCUUGAAAAAACUUUACAG
rnacentral:ncRNA from 1 species